UUUUUUUUUUUUUUUUUUUUUUUUUUUUUAAGUAAUCCGUUUCAGUUAAACUAGAAUAGUGUAUCACAGGAUGCAAAGGAAACGGCUCUGACUAGGAAAACUUUACAAGCCUCUGGCUUAAGUAUUUAAAGCAUGCCCCUCUCCUUCCUAGCACUUGCAGUGCAUACUUCAAGAUAUGGUACUGCUUAUGCUUACUGUGCUAAAGAAAAAGUGACAGUAGGAGAAUCUGGAAGCUGACAUACCCAAGGAACAAGUAAAGGACACAGUGGACUGUGCUGAAAGACAAGAACUGCAUUAAUUUUACACUAUUAAAGCUAUUUAAAACACUGGCUACAGAAGCAAGCACUGCUGUGCUAUUUAGCUGCAGAGAGAUUCAUCUUCCCAGAAGAAAAGCAAAGUGCAAGUCAUGAAGGUUCAAAAGGCAAAGGAGUUCAGCUUGUACAUACCAUAAUGAAUUCUGUGCAAGAGGCAGCUUCCCAGGUGAAGGGCAUCUGUGCUGGAAUCCCAGCUCCUUUGAGAAGCUUGGCUUCUGACUGGCAAAAGUUCCCUCCCCUUUUGGUGCUAGCCCUCUUUGUAGCUUGCAGAUCCUCAGCUGUGAGCAGUGCACCAGGAAUGUGUCUACCUCAGUUUCAUCUCAUUCCCAGCACCACUAGGUUUUACUUGUGUCUAGGCUCGAGCUCUUCUUCAGGGAGUUCUGCUAAGCCUUAGUCUUUGGAACUUCUGCAGCAAGCCCUAAAGUAUUAAUGAUGCACCUCUGAGCACUAGGAUUUUGGUGUUUGCUACAAUAAAUGAUAUCAAUACUCAGAUUACAAGAGAACUCAAGUUCAAGAGCAUGGAGAAAAUAGAGGAAAAUGUUUUCCACAGUAAGAGAAAUUUUGGAGGGAAAAAAGAAAACAAAAGCUGAAGUUCAGUGAUUUUGUUUGUUUAAGGUACACGAGCACAGGUUUAAGUAGCAAAACAAAAACAGCAGAUUAUUGGACAGACUUCACAUAUGGGAGGGGACAGUGAACAUUGCAGCAUGCUUUCAAUAAAGUUCUUUUCAAGCCUCAUACACCCCUCAUAAGAAACAAACUAUUGAUACAAGAGAUUACUCAUAUUGCCUACUUUGAUAUGGUAAUAAAAUAACUUUGUGGUUAUUAAUAGAUAGUUUUAUUACAACACAGUAUUUCCAAAUGAUUUAACAACAUAAUUGGUGGUUGCAGGUUACUUAAAGUCUCCCACUUCAAUUUUUGUUUCUCAAAAAGUUGCUACAUUGGAAAGGCUUCAAGCACUUGAGGCACAAUGAGUUUGACACUGAUUCAAGUUUAGAGAGAAAAAUAAGUGUGACAAGAUAGUAAGCAAGCUUACUAUAAAAGUGCAAAUGUUACCAUUCCUCUUUCACAUUUUAAGAGUUGCAUACAUUAUUCUAAAACCAAACAGCUUAAGAGUGGUUUUACAGUACUGCUGUCUGCCUGAAACUCAUGAAGCAUAGCUGUUCAAGUUCUUAAACAUCGUAAUUAUUGUUUUGUAUUUUAAAUAAUGUAUUUUAAGAGCACAUGAUGGGUCUGUUACUUAAUUUUGACAUUGGGAAUGUUUGUAUUUCCUGAAACAUGCAUCCAAGGUCUGUACUUGAUUUCUUCAAAAUAGGUAAAAAUUUCAAAAUGAAUCUACACAGUAUCCAAAUUCAAUGUAGAUAAAUGAAUUCAGCUGGGCAGUUUCAGCCACAUUGAACCCGGAUUACUAUGCAGUGGCAUUUAGACAUAGUCUGCAUUUCAUUCUGCAACUGUUCAGUGCUCCAGCCCUUUUAUGUCUAACUACUAAUCUUUUUGCCCUUUAAAACAUUAAAGAUAUCUUCCAGUGACUUGUAUGUACACUGGAGGAAUUCUUUCCCAUUCCUAGCUGGGUAAGAGGAAGCAUUGCAACCUAUCCAAUCACCAUGCAUUUGAUAUCCUAUUCCAAAGCCAUCAGGCACCACUGGGCCAAACCCUCCUAAUUGCACAGCUGGGCUAACCAAUGUGCUUGUAGAAAUGAUGUUGUGAUUAAGCCGAGCAUAGGCUUGGUCUUGGUAGAAAUCAGGUAAUGCAGUACCUUUGGAUAAGGCUAAGUAGCGCAAGCCAAAGAGAUGUCGGUCAAACCCCUGACCUGUAGAAAUAAAGUAACAAUUAUUAGAGAUAUCACUAAUUUUUGUGGGAAGUAAACUCCAUUACUUAGACAUCACAUUGCUUUUAAGUCACAAAACCAGGAGAAGGUCUGUAGAACAGCUUUUGUUUAACUUAGCAGAAACAUUUUACAGAAUCGAGACAUCUGCACUUUUAGCACACCUAUGCCAGGAAAUGAGCCCUCUCUUAGGGACAGCUGUUUUAUUGCUAGCCCUUGACCAGCAAUCAUGAUAGUAAAUAAAAGUGCAACGUUAAAGAUUUUAAUAAUACAUCACAUUCUUCAAUUAACUAUAUUCAAGUUUUUACCUGAAUAUUUUCAGGUUGUUUAAAACAAGUCAGAGAGAGAAAGGCCUUCCCUAAAUUUAUGAAUCUAAAGAGGAAGAGGAUAUUGUAUCAACAAAGGAGACACAUUUUAGAUGCUACUGGGUAAUGUUCAAUAGUCUUACUGAUUUUACUGAAAAGAUAUGUUAUGUUUCUGGGAAGGGCAAUUCAAAGGAAAAAAAUAGAAAAAUACCAAGAGUAGCAUAGCCAAAGAAUCAGUUUGGUUUGCAAGUUUUAAAAACCUUUAUCUGCCUGCAGGGGAUAGCAUAGCAACUCGUUAGUCAUAAAGCUAGAGUUCUUGGUUGCCUUCCAGAGUACAGCAUGCUCUAAGUAUUAAUCAAUGCUUCAAAUAUCCAAGCUGCUAUAAAAAGAGAAAUUAAGGUAGAGAAAAAAAUCUAGACAUGUAAUAGUAAAGUAGGAGCAUGGAGGCAUUCUCCUCCAUCAAGAAAUGGGUUAUACAGAACACAUUUUGAACUGGAACCUUCUGCUACUGUUCAUGCUAGAAAGUCUACUUAGCAUCAGACCUCCAUCAAGAUUAAAUUAUUUAGUUGCAAAGUAAACUUUUACUGCAACUUAAGCAGUCAUUUCAGUGGAAAAGCUCAAGUGUUCUAUAUAUUCCUACUUACCCAUGGCAGCUUCUUUUGUCAAACGGCCAUGGUAUUCUGAGCACUCGACAAUCAUCUUCUGAAGCUCUUCUGUGCUGUGUUUGGAUGGUUCUUUGACAAAAGCCUCUGAACAUUUCUUCGUAUGGACAGAGGCAGGACGUACAGUUUCUGUACGACCAUGUUUGAAAGCUGCCGUGCUGCAAGAUUCAUAUGUAGCAACAGUCUGAUUGUAUUGUCGAAGGAAAGCCAUCUGGAAGGCAAGCUGAGCCACAGCAUCUGGACUUAUCUUCUUCUGCUUUAGAAAGUCCUUGCCCCCUUUUUGGAACUGAAUUAUAUCAAGAGUAAGUGCUUCUACAGUAGAAUCAAAAUUCUGUUUGGCUUUGGUAAUUCCUGCUUUUAAGGCAUCAUUCAGCUUGAAGUCAAGUCUCUGUACUGCUCUAGAAGAGUCUACUGAAGCAGGCUGGGACUGGGGGCUGACAGCUGACUCUCCAACGCUAUCUUUAAAAACCUCAUUCUGGAAUCUGAGCACAGCCACACCAUCUCCCCAGGAAUGUUCAAAAUUAAUUCCCGCAGUGCCAUCUUUAGUUAUGAUAAGAUUAAAGGAUUUGUCAUACCAGCGGUUAGCACCACUUCCAUGCAACAUAGUGCGGGACAAGUGCACAAAGUCUUUAACAGGAAAAUCAUCUAAACUUAAACAAAAGAUGGCAGAGUCUACUUUUUGAAGAGCUUCUUCAUUGCCAUUGUCCAAUAGAUUAUUUCUCAACAAUGCCCAUGUAUCUCGGUUUUCACUGGAGAGAUACCCAAGAGGGAAGGCUGGGGUUGGACUGUUGUCACUGAGGAUGUAUUUCAAGUGUGCUUGUAUUUCUGAAGGUUUCAGCAUACUUCCAUCUCUAUCAAUAACAUCAAAUACAUAAAAAUUCCCAUUUCUCAGUA